GCUCAGGUAGUGUAAUUGGUUAGCACGUCACACUUCUAUUCUUCUUUGUGUGCGAUCCUUCUAUUCUUUUUCCUCCUCCUCUCGUUUUGAGUUUGGUUGUGUGAAGGUUCAGGUUCGAAUCCUGACAGUGAGCG
rnacentral:tRNA from 1 species